GAAGUAGAAAUAAGCUUUUAAGGGCAGAUGGUGGAUGCCUUGGGUAGUAGAGGCGAUGAAGGACGUACUAGGCUGCGAUAAGCUUCGGGGAGUUGCCAAGAGACUUUGAUCCGAAGAUUUCCGAAUGGGGCAACCCAAUACAUAGAGAUAUGUAUUACCUUUAAUGGAGCGAACCUAGUGAAGUGAAACAUCUCAGUAGCUAGAGGAAAAGAAAUCAAAUGAGAUUCCGCUAGUAGCGGCGAGCGAACGCGGAACAGGGCAAGCCAGUAGCUUGCUACUGGGGUUGAGGACUGCAACAUCCACUUGGAACAUCUAGUAGAAUCUUUUGGAAAGAAGAGCCAUAGAGGGUGAUAGCCCCGUAGAUUAAAGAUGUUUCAUAGGUAGCAGUAUCCAGAGUAGGCCAGGACACGAGAAAUCCGGGCUGAAGCAGGGGAGACCACUCUCCAACCCUAAAUACUCCUACUACACCGAUAGCGAACCAGUACCGUGAGGGAAAGGUGAAAAGAACUGAAGCGAUCAGAGUGAAAUAGAACCUGAAACCAUCUGCCUACAAUCAUUCGGAGCCCUAUGGUUUAUCCAGGGUGACGGACUGCCUUUUGCAUAAUGAUCCUGCGAGUUGUGGUAUCUGGCGAGGUUAAGCGAACGCGUAGCCGUAGCGAAAGCGAGUCUUAAUAGGGCGCUUUAGUCAGAUGCUGCAGACCCGAAGCUAAGUGAUCUAUCCAUGGCCAGGUUGAAAGUGAGGUAACACUCACCGGAGGACCGAACUCGUGCCCAUUGAAACGGGCUGGGAUGAGCUGUGGAUAGGGGUGAAAGGCCAAUCAAACUUAGUGAUAGCUGGUUCUCUUCGAAAUAUAUUUAGGUAUAGCCUCAAGUGAUAGUAAUAAGGGGUAGAGCUCUGAUUGGGCUAGGGCUGCUCACCGCGGUACCAAACCCUGUCAAACUUCGAAUACUUAUUACCGUAUCUUGGGAGUCAGGCGGUGGGUGAUAAAAUCAAUCGUCAAAAGGGGAACAACCCAGACUACCAAAUAAGGUCCCAAAGUCAUACCUGAGUGGAAAAAGAUGUGGAGUUACUCAGACAACCAGGAGGUUGGCUUAGAAGCAGCCAUCCUUUAAAGAAAGCGUAACAGCUCACUGGUCUAGUGAUUCUGCGCUGAAAAUAUAACGGGGCUAAGGUAUGCACCGAAUUUGUAGAUUGUGCUGAUGCACAGUGGUAGAAGAGCGUUCUAGUCAGCGUUGAAGGUAUACCGGCAAGGAGUGCUGGAGCGGCUAGAAGUGAGCAUGCAGGAAUGAGUAGCGAUAAAAGUGGUGAGAAUCCACUUCGCCGUAAAUCCAAGGUUUCCUACGCUAUGCUCGUCAUCGUAGGGUUAGUCGGGUCCUAAGUCGAGUCCGAAAGGGGUAGACGAUGGCAAAUCGGUUAAUAUUCCGAUACCGACCGUGGUGUGCGACGGGGGGACGCAUAGGGUUAAACGAGCCAACUGACGGAAUAGUUGGUCGAAGGGCGUAGGUUGGGGGAUAGGCAAAUCCACCCCUGUAUCCGAAACCUCACAGGCUCUUUGAAGUCUCCGGAUGGAUAGGAGAAUCGUUGAUACCGUCGUGCCAAGAAAAGCCUCUAAGUUUAGCCACGGUCGCCCGUACCGUAAACCGACACAGGUGGAUGAGAUGAGUAUUCUAAGGCGCGUGAAAGAACUCUGGUUAAGGAACUCUGCAAACUAACACCGUAAGUUCGCGAUAAGGUGUGCCCCGCAAGGGGGUCUCAGCAAAGAGUCCCUCCCGACUGUUUACCAAAAACACAGCACUUUGCCAACUCGUAAGAGGAAGUAUAAGGUGUGACGCCUGCCCGGUGCUCGAAGGUUAAGAGGAUCUGUCAGCCGCAAGGCGAAGCUUUGAAUUGAAGCCCGAGUAAACGGCGGCCGUAACUAUAACGGUCCUAAGGUAGCGAAAUUCCUUGUCGGUUAAAUACCGACCUGCAUGAAUGGCGUAACGAGAUGGGAGCUGUCUCAACCAGGGAUUCAGUGAAAUUGUAGUGGAGGUGAAAAUUCCUCCUACCCGCGGCAAGACGGAAAGACCCCGUGGACCUUUACUACAGCUUGGCACUGCCGAUGGGAGCAUUAUGCGCAGGAUAGGUGGGAGGCUUUGAAAUCUUCACUCUGGUGGAGAUGGAGCCACCGUUGAGAUACCACCCUUAAUGUUUCUGUCUGCUAACUGGCUUGAGUUAUCCUCAAGCAGGACAAUGCCUGGUGGGUAGUUUGACUGGGGCGGUCGCCUCCUAAAAAGUAACGGAGGCUUGCAAAGGUUGGCUCAGAAUGGUUGGAAAUCAUUCGUUGAGUGUAAUGGCAUAAGCCAGCCUGACUGCGAGACAAACAAGUCGAGCAGAGUCGAAAGACGGUCAUAGUGAUCCGGUGGUUCUGUGUGGAAGGGCCAUCGCUCAAAGGAUAAAAGGUACCCCGGGGAUAACAGGCUGAUCUCCCCCAAGAGCUCACAUCGACGGGGAGGUUUGGCACCUCGAUGUCGGCUCAUCGCAUCCUGGGGCUGGAGCAGGUCCCAAGGGUAUGGCUGUUCGCCAUUUAAAGCGGUACGCGAGCUGGGUUCAGAACGUCGUGAGACAGUUCGGUCCCUAUCUGCCGUGGGCGUAGGAAAGUUGAGGAGAGCUGUCCCUAGUACGAGAGGACCGGGAUGGACAUGCCACUAGUGUACCAGUUGUUCUGCCAAGAGCACCGCUGGGUAGCUACGCAUGGUCGUGAUAACCGCUGAAAGCAUCUAAGCGGGAAGCCGACUCCAAGAUGAACUUUCCCUGAAGGUCGCAGGAAGACUACCUGCUUGAUAGGUUGGGUGUGUAAGCAUGGUAACAUGUUUAGCUGACCAAUACUAAUAGACCGUUUGGCUUAUUAUUUAUCUACUU
rnacentral:rRNA from 1 species